GACGAACGCUGGCGGCGUGCUUAACACAUGCAAGUCGAACGGAAAGGCCCUGCUUGCAGGGUACUCGAGUGGCGAACGGGUGAGUAACACGUGGGUGAUCUGCCCUGCACUUCGGGAUAAGCCUGGGAAACUGGGUCUAAUACCGGAUAUGACCUUCCAUGUAGUGUGGGGGGUGGAAAGAUUUAUCGGUGUGGGAUGAGCCCGUGGCCUAUCAGCUUGUUGGUGGGGUAAUGGCCUACCAAGGCGUCGACGGGUAGCCGGCCUGAGAGGGUGGACGGCCACAUUGGGACUGAGAUACGGCCCAGACUCCUACGGGAGGCAGCAGUGGGGAAUAUUGCACAAUGGGCGGAAGCCUUAUGCAGCGACGCCGCGUGGGGGAUGACGGCCUUCGGGUUGUAAACCUCUUUCGACAGGGACGAAGCUUCGGUGACGGUACCUGUAUAAGAAGCACCGGCUAACUACGUG
rnacentral:rRNA from 1 species